rnacentral:rRNA from 1 species
UCGAGGGGCAGCGGGGGUGAUGGCUUGCCAUCACCUGCCGGCGACCGGCGCACGGGUGAGUAACACGUAUGCAACCUGCCCGCCACAGGGGGAUAAGCGGAAGAAAUUCCGUCUAAUACCGCGUGACGCGGCACCGGGGCAUCCCGGUGCCGCCAAAGGGAUUACCGGUGGCGGAUGGGCAUGCGGCGCAUUAGCUAGUCGGCGGGGUAACGGCCCACCGAGGCGACGAUGCGUAGGGGUUCUGAGAGGAAGGUCCCCCACACUGGUACUGAGACACGGACCAGACUCCUACGGGAGGCAGCAGUGAGGAAUAUUGGUCAAUGGGCGCGAGCCUGAACCAGCCAAGUCGCGUGAGGGAUGACGGUCCUACGGAUUGUAAACCUCUUUUGCCGGGGAGCAAGCGUGCGUUCGUGAACGCGCGUCGAGAGUACCCGGAGAAAAAGCAUCGGCUAACUCCGUGCCAGCAGCCGCGGUAAUACGGAGGAUGCGAGCGUUAUCCGGAUUUAUUGGGUUUAAAGGGUGCGUAGGCGGGAUGCCAAGUCAGCGGUAAAAAAGCGGUGCUCAACGCCGUCGAGCCGUUGAAACUGGCGUUCUUGAGUGGGCGAGAAGUAUGCGGAAUGCGUGGUGUAGCGGUGAAAUGCAUAGAUAUCACGCAGAACUCCGAUUGCGAAGGCAGCAUACCGGCGCCCUACUGACGCUGAGGCACGAAAGCGUGGGUAUCGAACAGGAUUAGAUACCCUGGUAGUCCACGCAGUAAACGAUGAAUGCUAACUGUCCGGUGCGAGUGAGCGCUGGGCGGUACAGCGAAAGCGUUAAGCAUUCCACCUGGGGAGUACGCCGGCAACGGUGAAACUCAAAGGAAUUGACGGGGGCCCGC